rnacentral:hammerhead_ribozyme from 1 species
AUUCAGUUGACGUGUCCCGAAUAGGACAAAACGUGCGUCAAACUGAAU